rnacentral:RNase_P_RNA from 1 species
AGAGUAGACCGUGCGGCCGCGGGGUCUUCCCCGAGGAAAGUCCGAACUCCACAGGGCAGGGUGCUGGGUAACUCCCAGUGAGGGUGACCUCAAGGAAAGUGCCACAGAAAAAACACGGCGGAUUUCCGCAAAGGUGAAAUGGCGAGGUAAGAGCUCACCAGCAACUGGGCGACCAGUUGGCUAGGCAAACCCCACCCGGAGCAAGAUCGAAUAGGAAGGUUUGAGUGGCCCGCUCGCAAACCUUCGGGUUGAUCGCUUGAAGGGCAGGGUAACCUGCUCUCCAGAUAGAUGGCCGCACCCUGAAAAGGGACAGAAUUCGGCUUAUAGGUCUGCUCUCGUU